AAAAGAGGGAGAUUAUGGUAGAACUAUGGUGUCAGCCCAUGACUUAGGGCCCAUUAACCCCUUCAAAAUAGCCGAAAGUAACACAAAAGAGAGUAAUAUGCAGCACAGGGGAGGUGCAGGCCGCGGGCAUCGACCCAAAUCUACAAUUGUUGAGAGGAACCGAUCCAUUCUACUUGACCUUGUUUCAACCGGCUAUUUGAAAGGUCGACCAAAAUGUUGCUGUCGGCGAUACACAACUGCUUGGAUUGAUACCGGAAUUAGUGGUACGCGAUUACGUGCCAACAGAGAAAGGGGUAAGUUUCUAAAGGUUAUCAUACUGCAAUCUCCAUUAAAGGUUAACCAAGAUCUCUGGAAAAGCCAAUGUCGAUUGAAGAAACCGAAAUGAACAUCGAAGAUACUUGGUUUCAAAAUGAAUGUGUUGUGCAGAAAAAAUACUGAGUUAUGCAAAGUUGAACAAGUCGUAGGGUGCAUUAUUUUCUGCAGGUUGUGAAAUGCUGCAUAUGGGAUGUAUCAAGCCAUUUUGAAUUUCUUUCUUGGAUUCUUAAUGUGAACUGCUGACUCGACAUGCUCAAAAUGAGUUUAAAUUAGAAUAUUUGUAUUGAUUUGACAAAUGAAAUCUGGUUGUCUUAUGUAAUGAAUGUUUGGAUGGUUAGGGAAACGAAUUUGAAUGUAUAUUAGAUGUAUUGGUGAUUGAAUAUGGAAAGUGGUAUUGAAUGUUGAAUGAAAUGCGAACUAAUGAAAUUGUGGAA